UACGGAGGGUGCGAGCGUUGUCCGGAAUCACUGGGCGUAAAGGGCGCGUAGGUGGCAUGUUAAGUUUGAUGUGAAAGCUCAGGGCUUAACCCUGAAAUGGCAUUGAAUACUAGCGUGCUGGAGGUUUGGAGGGGGGGACUGGAAUUCCCGGUGUAGCGGUGAAAUGCGCAGAUAUCAAGUGGAACACCAGUGGCGAAGGCGAGUCCCUGGACAAAACCUGACACUGAGGCACGAAAGCUAGGGGAGCAAACAGG
rnacentral:rRNA from 1 species